rnacentral:tRNA from 2 species
GCGGUUGUGGCGGAAUCGGCAGACGCGCUAGGUUGAGGGCCUAGUGGGAGUUAAAUCCCGUGGAGGUUCAAGUCCUCUCAGCCGCAUCA